rnacentral:rRNA from 1 species
GGACGAACGCUGGCGGCGUGCUUAACACAUGCAAGUCGAGCGGUAAGGCCCUUCGGGGUACACGAGCGGCGAACGGGUGAGUAACACGUGGGUGAUCUGCCUCGCACUUCGGGAUAAGCCUGGGAAACUGGGUCUAAUACCGGAUAUGACUUCUGGUCGCAUGGCUGGGGGUGGAAAGAUUUAUCGGUGCGAGAUGGGCCCGCGGCCUAUCAGCUUGUUGGUGGGGUAAUGGCCUACCAAGGCGACGACGGGUAGCCGGCCUGAGAGGGCGACCGGCCACACUGGGACUGAGACACGGCCCAGACUCCUACGGGAGGCAGCAGUGGGGAAUAUUGCACAAUGGGCGAAAGCCUGAUGCAGCGACGCCGCGUGAGGGAUGACGGCCUUCGGGUUGUAAACCUCUUUCGACUCCGACGAAGCGCAAGUGACGGUAGGAGUAGAAGAAGCACCGGCCAACUAC